CGGAGUGCCCGCCCCCCCCGGCGGACCGACCAAUGGGAGCGCGGAGGAAAAGGGGCGGCCGCGGAGCUGGAGCCGCCAUGAUGGCACCAGCGGGAUGGUGGAGCUGUGGGGUUCUGUGCGAGGAAAGCGGUGCUUCGUCGCCCUACGUCCCCGCCGCCGCCUGCCCUGUGCCUCGGGUGUCGCCGGGCGGUCAGGGGAAGUCGGCGCAGGGGCACCUGCUGGCCCUAUUCGUCCCUCGUCAGAAUCCAGCCAUCCUCCGGAGGGGGUACCGAGCUGUCCUCCGUCGUUGCAGCGGGGCACUGCUGGGCUGUGAGAAGCGGCGGCUGACCACGAGCAGCGGAACCCUCCCAGUCUCCGGCAGCAGCUCCUGGCUGAGCCGGGCAGCCCUGAAAGAGAGGGACUGAUCCCACGGGUCGAGACGUGUUCAAGCCUGGCAGAGGUUCAGGCGAGCGCCUUCGGUUCUUGCUUGGCUCAAAUCAGCAGCAGCGAGUGCUGAGUUCCUGCCCCGCAGGUGGAGUCCUCAACUGCUGUUUUCCGUAUCCCUUUCUGUCCCCGUGCUGAGCUCCCGGAGCUUCAUGAAGCCUACACGGAGCCACUUCAUGUUGGCCCCAAAGAGGGAAGCUGUUGGAAAUAUCCAAAUAAUUUAUCAGGACGGUACCUCUGAUAAAGCAGAUUUUAUUCGCAAUUGCAAUGGCAGGCCUCCUGCAAGCAGGAGAGCACACAGAAAACAGCAUUACAUCUUUUACGCUCUAUUACUCGAUGCUUAUCUCUUUCUUCCCUGGUUCCUCAUUGGCUGAGUACUCCAGGUUCACAAUCUUCCCGAUGCUCAUGAGGAUACUGGCUGAACAUAAAUUGUUGCUAGCUAAGCAUAUAUUGCUAUUUAAUUAACUUCUCACACUUGGUCAGUCAAUACUAGAUCAUUAUUCUUGGACACCUGCUGUCCUUGGAUAGAGAUAAAUUGGGAAGGAUAGGUGUAGGGGAGUAUCAGUUGUGUUCUUCCUAAUCCGGAAGAGGGACAGCUUGACCUUGUGUAGAGGCCCCUUUGGGUUGUUAUUUUGCUGAGGGCCUCUUGACAAAACAGGGUAGUCAACACUAUAUAGUCAACAAUAGUCAAAUACAAGAGUUACAAUUUCUGUACUUAUUAAUUAUUUCAUCUUAACUACUAAGCAUGCAUAAAUAUAGAAAGUUUACCUAAAGGACAAGUGAUGGAGUGAUGGGGAUUAUUCAAGACCCCCUUUUUACUGUAAUGAAAAGAAUCUCAAAAAGAAUUGUUAGUACCAAUAAAUGACACUAGAUGACAGCAGAGACCAUAAAAUACUAAUUUUGCUGGUCUUAAAUGCAGAAACAUUUCAUUCCCACAAAGCUGCAAGAGGGGAACGAUUGUUAGGAUGGCAACUGGUUGGGAAUAUGGUCAUUUAUCUGCUUAUUGCUCUGUAUGUUAAAUGAUUAAAUGUUUAGCAUUCAUUUUUCUACAUUUCUGCCUGCAGUUCAUUCUGCAGCUCCAAAGACCCCCCCAUGCCCACCUCUGGGUAAGGAUGGGGCAGCACAAAUGGCAGUGUCAUAGGACUGCAACCUCCAACCCUGUUCCUCCCCCCAGAAUCCCCUCCCCUCCUUAGCGCUGUGUGGGAAAUGGUUGGGGUGGGAUUCUGGGACUGCUGGGGCAGCUCAGUCUGCAGAAGAGGAGGCUCAGGGGUAUCCCAGGCAUGGCCAUCAGUCCCUGCAGGGAGGUGCAGAGAGGACGGAGCCAGGCUGCACCCAGUGGUGCCCAGCAGCAGGACCAGAGGCACUGGGCACACACUGCAGCACAACAGGUUUCCCUUUAUGUCACCCCUGAGCCCCCAUAUUGGGUCAAUGUCAUUGGAUAUUUUUGCCAGUGAUCACGAUGCAGGACAUGAAUGCAUCCUUGUGAAAUCCACCGGGCAUCCUAAGGCAUGAGGUACUACUGGCACUCCUGAGGUUUUUAAGGGGCAGCAGGGAGGGCUCAGGGCAGUAGCUGGGGGCUCUUGAAGGGACUUUGAGGUGCUGUGGGUUCAGAAUUGUUUUUUCCUCCCGUUUCACACAUAAGGUGGCAGUUUGGCUCAGUACCUCGAGGUGGCAGCAGGACCCCCAGCAACAGAUAAGUCCGCUGCCCAGAGCCCCGUGUAUGGCUGUGAGAAUGAUGGAGGGUGUAAUAAAUGUAGCACAUGCACAGGGCUUAUGAUUACUGUGACACAGGGAUGACAUAUUCAUAUAUCCUUUCUAUUAUAUUGCCAGAUAGUAUUUCAGUGUUAAAGAGAUACGAAUCAUCGGAGAGUAUUCCGUUGUAGUUCAAGCCUAACAGGGGACCAUCCUGUAACAAAAUACAGAGUGCGCCUUAAACGUUGUCAUUCAAUUUAGUUCCCUAAAGCAAAGCAAAGCAAAACAAACACAAAAACACAACAGCUCAUCUCCUCCCCCUAAGAUAUUGAGUGAAAGUCUCCCACCUGCCUCCUUUCACAAAUUGCAUGGCGGUUUUAUGGAAAACAAUUGGUUAAAUUGCAAACUAAACUAAACUCCUAUUUUCUAUAAUUAUGAGACGUAUUGUGAGUCCAGAAAGAAAAUCCCUACUGCAGAGACACACAAAACCAUGAGCAUUUCCAAAAGAGGGCACCAGAUACACGCUUUUAAACUGCAUUUCUACUGCUUUCUUGAGCCUAUUUCGUCCUGCUUUCCAGGCAAUUUCCUCCACAACAGAUACGGACCACCCUAAAUGGAAAGUACUCACAUUUUGGCUAUCGUAUGUCGUGCUUUUUGACACCAAAACCUGCCUUUUUUUUUUUUUUUUUUUUUGUGUGUGUGUGUGUGUGCUGGAAUAAUCUCCUUUUUAUUAAAAUUGGCUGUGUGAAAGGGAGUCAUCGAUAUUUCACCGUGUUAUUGCAUUCACACCCACAGCUGAGUAGCAUAGAUAUGGUUUUACUGUUGGGUUCCUGACUGCUCAGCCAGUUUUGUUCUUUGUUCUCCCUGGCUUCUCCUUGACUCAGAAGAGUCGUAGGCAAGUUAGAGGUUAGAGUUCCUUUUUUCCUGUACUGUAGGGCUUUGCCUCCAGUUUUGGCUUUGUUUAUAUCACAAGGUAUCAGAUAGCAAAUUAAGUUCAAGUCAGUGCAGCUGAUGCACUGGACAGCAGCAACAUUCCUUAUGGUGCUUAGUCUCUAGAGAUCACACCAUAUACUAGACCAAUCUAGGAGAAGUUACACUCUCCUGUGCAGAUCCUACAUAACUUUUCCACAACCCCUAAGGACUCUUGUAAGAGUUUGGAACUCAAGCCCAGCCUCUUCCAAAUGCUGAAAGAAAAAACAACAGCUGUUAAAUUUCCUUUACGUUUCUUGCAUCUUACAGUACAUAUGGUUUAGAAAACUCUGUGACAAGCUUAACAUGGAAUGGUCUUCCUAGCCUCAAGCAGCAGAAGUAACUUCUCCCAGCUAGGUAGGGAAUUAUCCAUUUUUCCUAUAUAAAAAAGACAAGAAUGUUUACAUGGUAACUGAAUGUUUACAAUCUGACAUCCACUGUAAAUCCACCAGGUUCAAACAGCAGUCAGAUAACAUAAAUGAGAAAGAAACAUGAAAGUACUCCUUUUUACUUCCCAGGCUUUAAUCUUCAUUAAAUCUUGUUCUGCUGUGGAGAACAGGUAGAAGCAAUUCACUUGCAUGGACAAGGGGUGCAGCCUGGUUCCGCCCCUCCCUAAACUCAUUUAAGGGCUGUCUGCUCCCAGGGAAGGAGCUCAGUUGGAUAUCUGCUCUUUUGUAUUGUUUUGUGUGUUCUCUUCCUCAGAAAGUAGUAAGUAGUUCUGUGGUUAUUUGCUAGGUUGAGACCUUUGUGUUUCUUGGGUAAUUUAAAGCUGUGAUUGCUAAUGUCUAUGUCUGCAGUUGCUGCCCCAUGGAGUCUCCUCCUGGUUGAUGAUGGCAGUUGGUAUCUAUGGGGUGAGAGGAGUCUGCGUAAAAGUGGUGGUACUUAGGAGGAAGACACUGUUUGUCUUUAUGCUUUAUGGGUACAAUCAGAUCAGAAAGCAUUGUGAUUUAUGGCAGUUUCCUUGGCCAAAGGAUGCUUUGGCAGUAGAGGUUUGCCGUCAGGAGGCAUUAAAGCACUGAAGAAAAUGCUGCUGUGCACUGGUCCCAGAGACAUCAGCUCACAGCAUGUCACUGAUGGUGGAUAUCUGUAAGCUUUGUGUCUGUCAGUGAUUGCUCUGAAGGCUUUGUAGUCAGCUGUCCAUGGCUGUCUUGCUUUUUAGGGUGUAGGAACAUCCAGUGAUGAUUGGAGUGAUGGUGUCCUACUUGGAAAUGGAGGUGCUGGAUGGCAGAAGAGGAUUCUUGGCCAAAUAUGGAAUCAUCUCUGUUCCUUCAUGAGGGUUACCGGUCUAUAAUGAUUUCUUGCUGUGGAAUUAUGUUCAUAUACAACCAAAUAAGGGCACUGAUAGAGGCACCUGCCUGGUGGCUUUAUUCAGUGUUGUAUAAUUUGAAUUUUAAGACUUUUGAACCGGUUUACAGGCUUCCCUCUCUGUAGCACAUUUUUCAAAUACCGAGUUAGUGCUCAUACUUGUGUGCAUGUUAUCAAUAUCCUUGAAAGUAUUCCUCUUCAUUCAUGCUAAGUGGAAGAAGUCUCCAAGACCAGAGAAUGAUGACUGGCAAGGAAUAUGGAAAGGUUUAGGAAAAAUCUUAGAAGCAUGGGGACCUGCCAUCCUAUGGGAUUUCACUCUUGAACAUGUGUGGGAUCCUGAGAAACUGAGCCAGCAUUUGAUUCAGUGAUAGUGCGGCUUAGAUAGAUCAAAGGAAGUACGGCUUAUUUGGGGCUUGGCUUGUGCCUACCGUGCUCUGUAUAGUACUAUUCUGGAGAGAGAGAGUUUCCA
ensembl:lncRNA